AGAGUAGGCGCAGGUGGUUACAGACUAGUUUCAUUGAAACUCGUUUGAGGAAAGUCCGGACUCCCGAAAGACCAGACUUGCUGGAUAACGUCCAGUGCGAGCGAUCGCGAGGAUAGUGCCACAGAAACAUACCGCCAGAAUCAAUUCAAAAUUAAAAAUUCAAAGGAGGGCUGCGCCCCGCUGCGCUAACAAAAUGAAUAAUUUUUUGAAUUGAUUCUGGUAAGGGUGCAAAGGUGCGGUAAGAGCGCACCAGCGCGAUCGAGAGAUCGUGGCUCGGUAAACCCCGGUUGGGAGCAAGGUCGCAAGGAACUAUGGUUGGUCUUUUACCAGUUCCGCUAAAAUAAGAGCCGCUAGAGGCGUUUGGUAACAAACGUCCCAGAUAGAUAACUACCCUCUUGAUAUAGGAAAGUCGUAUGCCUUUCCAUAGAAAGAGAACAGAACCCGGCUUACGUUCCGACUCUCUCC
rnacentral:RNase_P_RNA from 1 species